rnacentral:rRNA from 1 species
AGCGCAGGCGGUUUGAUAAGUCUGAAGUAAAAGGCUGUGGCUUAACCAUAGUAUGCUUUGGAAACUGUCAAACUUGAGUGCAGAAGGGGAGAGUGGAAUUCCAUGUGUAGCGGUGAAAUGCGUAGAUAUAUGGAGGAACACCGGUGGCGAAAGCGGCUCUCUGGUCUGUAACUGACGCUGAGGCUGAAAGCUGGGGAGCAAACA